ensembl:lncRNA
CUCCCUGGCUCUAUAACGCUGUCACCGACUACAAUGUCAAACCUUUUAGGAGUCUCGCGAGCUUCCGUUUUCACCCCAAGGACAGAAGAUCCGUCGUGAUUUAUUUGUUUAUUUAUUCGGUUUUUUUUUUGGUUUUUUUUGGUUUUUACCCGAACUGACUCGACCUGAAGUGAUAUUUGUGCGUUAAAGUGAUGAUGACUUCACAAUAAACCAAGCUAAGGUCUAUGUUAGAGCGACGAAGACAGAAAUGGAGGUGACAAGGCGAAGAGACUCCAGUGGCCAGUUCUCUGACAACUCGGACCAUGACUGUGAGGUACAGAGGUGUGUGUUUGUGGCUGUGUGUCUGGGGUGGGGUGUGUGUGUGAUUGACACAUACUUUUUCCACCAGUGAUGGCCACUUGAUGAAUACAUACAAACUGCAGUCAGAAAUUAGUCAGGGGUCAGGGUAGAAUGCUGAGAAAGAGGGGUUUGUUGAAUGAUGCGGCUUCAAUCGAGGGGUGGGAUUAAGGGACAUGGGAUGAGCUGACGUGGGUUGAGGAGGCAUGGAAUAAUAGGUCAUAGAAUGAGGCGACAAAAAUGAGAUGGUGUGGAACUGUGGUAUGUGGUGUGGAAGGGAUGCCAGGGCAUGGGAUGAAAAGGCGUGGAAUGAGGGGGUGUGGGAUGAGAGGAUGUUGGUUGAAUGGGUGGUAUAAAAUGAUGUGGCAUGGAAUGUGGAAUUAGCAGGAAAGGAAUAAUAGAACGUGGGGUGAGGGAACAUAAUAUGAGGUGGCAUGGGAUGAUGUGGUGUGGAAUGAGCAUGAGGUGACCUUGGGUGAGGGGGCAUGGAAUGAUGUGACGCUGGAUGAGGAGGUCUGGGAAUAUGUGACGUUGGAUGAGGGAGCAUGGGAUGAGUGGUUGCUGGAUGAGGGGAUGUGGGAUGAUGGUACAUGGGAUAAGCGGGUGUUGGAUGAGGUGACGUUGAAUGAUGAGGUGUGGAAUGAGGUGAUGGGAUGAUGGCACAUGGGAUAAGGGGUUGUUGGAUGAGGAGGUGUGGAAUAAGGUAAUGGAAUGAGGGGGCAUAGAAUGAUGUGACAUGGGUAUAGGGGGACUUGGAAUGAAGUGAUGUUGGAUGAGGGGGAUGAGGGUACAUGGAAUGAAGGCUCAUGGGAUGAAGGGACGACAGAAGAGGAACACAGAAUGGGGAGGUAUCUGACAAGAGGUCAUGGCUUGAAGAGCUGUGGAGUGAAAGGUGUGGGAUAAUGUGGCAUGGGAUAAUGGGGUUUGAGAUGAGGGAGGGCAGAGUAUGUCAGUGGUACGUGAAACCUCUGAUUGCAUGUUGAUAGCUGUGCAAAAUGGCAUCUCUGAAAGAUGGUUCCCUAAGAACCAUUUGGUGCUGUCUGAAAAAUUUCAGUGUUCCCAAAUUUCCCACUAGGAAACACCACUCUAAGUUUGGCAUUGUAAACUGUGGUAAUUCCCAACUGACCUGAAUCCAGCAUUAC